GACGAACGCUGGCGGCGUGCUUAACACAUGCAAGUCGAACGGUGACCCAGGGCUUGCCCUGGUGAUCAGUGGCGAACGGGUGAGUAACACGUGGGCAACCUGCCCCUGACUUCGGGAUAACUCCUCGAAAGAGGAGCUAAUACCGGAUACGACCACUUCGGACAUCCGAUGGUGGUGGAAAGUUUUUCGGUCAGGGAUGGGCCCGCGGCCUAUCAGCUAGUUGGUGGGGUAAUGGCCUACCAAGGCGACGACGGGUAGCCGGCCUGAGAGGGCGACCGGCCACACUGGGACUGAGACACGGCCCAGACUCCUACGGGAGGCAGCAGUGGGGAAUAUUGCGCAAAUGGGCGAAAGCCUGACGCAGCGACGCCGCGUGAGGGAUGAAGGCC
rnacentral:rRNA from 1 species